rnacentral:rRNA from 1 species
UACGUAGGGUGCAAGCGUUGUCCGGAAUUAUUGGGCGUAAAGAGCUCGUAGGCGGUCUGUCGCGUCUGCUGUGAAAACUCAGGGCUUAACCCUGAGCUUGCAGUGGGUACGGGCAGACUAGAGUGCGGUAGGGGAGACUGGAAUUCCUGGUGUAGCGGUGAAAUGCGCAGAUAUCAGGAGGAACACCGGUGGGCGAAGGCGGGUCUCUGGGCCGUAACUGACGCUGGAGGAGCGAAAGCCGUGGGGAGCGAACAGG